rnacentral:tRNA from 1 species
GGACGAUUAGCUCAGUGGGAGAGCGCUUGCUUCACACGCAAGAGGUCGACGGUUCGAAACCGCCAUCGUCCA